rnacentral:rRNA from 1 species
GACGAACGCUGGCGGCGUGCUUAACACAUGCAAGUCGAACGGAAAGGCCCUGCUUUUGUGCGGUGCUCGAGUGGCGGACGGGUAAGUAACCCUUAGGUACCCUACCCUUCCCUUUGGGGUAACUUAAGGCAGCUGGGGCUAAUCCCGGCAAGGAUUUCCUGCUUCAUGGUGGGGGUGGGAAGGUUUCGGCGGUUGGGCGUGGACUCGCGGCUUAUCAGCUUGUUUGUGGGGUAGUGGAUUACCAUGGCUUGGCCGGGUGGCCGGCCUGCGCGGGUGAGCGGACACAUUGGGACGGAGAUACGGCACAGACUCCAACGGGAGGCAGCAGUGGGGAAUAGUGCACAAGGGGCGGAAGCCUGAUGCAGCAACGCCGUGUGCGGGAUGACGGCAUUCGGGUAGUAAACCGAUUUCGCCUGUGACGAAGCGUGAGUGACGGUAAUGGGUAAAGAAGCACCGGCUAACUACGUG